rnacentral:misc_RNA from 1 species
AAGUCGUAACAAGGUUUCCGUAGGUGAACCUGCGGAAGGAUCAUUAAAUGAAGCAACCUAGGAGCCUGAGAUAUGACCACCGGGCACACCUUCCACCCUUUGUUUAUCACACUUUGUUGCUUUGGCAGGCCUGCCUCCGGGCUGCUGGCUCCGGCCGGCGAGCGCUUGCCAGAGGACCCAAACUCUGUUUGUCUGUAACGUCUGAGUAAAAAGUUUAAUAUUUAAAACUUUCAACAACGGAUCUCUUGGCUCUG